GACCAGAAAGGGUGCUUACCAUGCAGUCCAUGUGAAGGGGAGCAAUCCCCCGGUAGGGUGGCGAACGGGUGAGUAAUACAUGGGAAUCUGCCCUGGAGAUGGGGAUAUCCUUCCGAAAGGAGGGUUAAUACCGAAUAUCGUCCGGGUGACGAGAGUCAUUUGGGGAAAGGGAGGCCUCUGGCAACAUGCUUCCGCUCCGGGAGGAGCCCAUGGCCCAUCAGCUAGUUGGUAGGGUAACGGCCUACCAAGGCAAAGACGGGUAGCUGGUCUGAGAGGACGAUCAGCCACACUGGCUACUGAGACACGGGCCAGACUCCUACGGGAGGCAGCAGUGAGGAAUUUUGGCGCAAUGUGGGGCAACCCUGACGCAUCAACG
rnacentral:rRNA from 1 species